UGUAUUCAUAAAUACAUUUAUUUAUUAUUUCUUGUUCUUGGCAUUAGUAUUUUUUCCAAAGGAUGCGUUUUUUCUCGCUGUGUAAGAAUGCCCGCUUGGCAACAAAGUCUCUAAGCAUUGAUUUAGUUGUCUUUUUCGUUGCUCGUUUUCUGAUUUGUAUUCGCAGUUUAUUUUGUGCUCGAAAUCUCGACAAAUUAAUGUUACAUUCUAAAGACAUUAAAAUGCUUUUAUCUCACAUCGCCGCAAGUACAAAAGAACAAUGCACGUUUUUCCACAAAUAAAACUACUAAAAUAGCUGGAGAGCAGGCCCAUUAUCCGACCAUUAGCAGAUCAUUGGAUCAAGUGAAAUACGCAAAUCCAGUAUUAGAGCUCAACUAUAACACAGCCGACUACAACUGACAUCGAAGCCAAUAAAAAUUCAUUAGCAGUUUGUUUAUUAAAUUGCACCCCCAGCAUGUAUUUUGCCUUCUGUAA